UAUAUAUACAUUUUGUAACUUACCAGUCAGACUCCAGCAGCACAAACAGAACAAGACAAACUUGUGAACCAUUUUCUUCAGUGGUUCAGUGUGUGAGAAGAACUGUUAAAGUGUUGUGUGAAUCCUCCCCUGACUGUGUUCGACCCUCCUAGUUCACAUCCUGCAUUUGCACAUGAUAUAAUGUUAUAGUUCAUCUAACCCUUAUUAAGAUUUGUACUGGUUUUAAUGGAUAAAAAUAUCAUAAAUUUUUAUAAAAACGUGAAGGGUUCAUAUUACUGCCUCAGUGACAGCUUUUCUUUUGAGGGGGCAGUUACUUGAUUGUGCAACAGGUCUAAAAGUAGAACAAUAUUGUUUGAAUUGUGGAACACUGUUAUUUUAAAACAAUGUUUAUUUAUUCAAAAAUGAAUAGAAAAACCCAGAAAAUAAAUUUAAAACCAUGUUACGUUCUCACAGUACUGCCUUCACUGAUGUUUAUCUUUUGAGUCAAUCUUAAACCAGCUGUGGUUUGUUUUCAAAAUAUGAUCCAUUGGGUGGAAAAAACACGUCAGUGAAAAAUUAAAGGUGACAAGUUUUUUUUUUUUUUUCCUGUGCUGCUAAUUUACAGAAUUAAUCUAAAUGAAAUGAAAAAAAAAAGAAACUUUAUGGUCCAAUUCUUACUAACCCUCACACCAUCGCCAGCAACGCAUGAAACGGGCCCAAGAUCAUCAAAAUUGGAAGAAAAUGGCCUGGUCCGAUGAAUCAGGAUUUCUAAGCCGAUUACUGACAGAGGCUACUGCACCUUGGAUACACUGUUGUGUGGACACAACCCAGCAGCGGUAGUGGUGUUAUGCUGUGAGCAAUGUUUUCUUAGGACAUUUAAGGCCCCAAUAUCCUAAUAUCUUACAGCUGUAAGGUUAUGAUAAUCACUGUGGACCAAGUGCACCCAUUCAUGACAACUGUGUUCCUUGAUAGCCAUCAAUGCCAAAUUAUACUUGGUUGUUGUACACGUAUGCUAACGUAUGCAUACAGUCAAACAUGUAGCCUUUCAAAGUACACGCCAUUUGAUUUUUGGGUGAAUGCAGGCAGUCGAACCAUGAGCUCUUGAAGCUUCAUCCAUGUCCAGUGUCUGAUCUAUUUUUCUCCAUAAUUAAUUUCUCCAUAAUUCUCCAUUAAACCAAAUCCUAUGCUAUCCCAUUCUAUCUCGCUCACUAACGCUUGUCAAUGCCGCUAUCUGUUGUUGUUGCAGUUUCCGCUAUAUUGUUGUUCCGUCUCUUUAGGUUUCUACUGUGACUCAACGACCCGGGACAGUGUUACCACCUUGUGGAACAACUGAUUAAUGCAAAAUUCAAUGCACAUGUGCAACCUGCAUGUACAAAGUGUGUGCGGUUACAAAAAUAAGAUUUUGCAUACACAGUACAAAAUUUGCAUCACACUCACUGUACGCUGUUCCUCGUGUACUCGUGAAAAAUUAAGAAUACUUUGGGCUUUACCAACAUUACAUUAUAAGAUAAUGCACCAUGCCGCACUGCCGGAAUCAUCAAACAGUGGUUUGAGGAACAUGAUGGUGAAUUUCUGUCAAUGCCUUGGCUUACAAAUUCACCUGACAUGAACCCAAUAGAACUUUUGUUGUUCAACUUGGAAAAGGGGUGCUACAUCAUCACCAUCCUGCAAUGUAGAGGAACUGGAGGACCAGUUGUUGACAUUAUGAUAAGAUACACAGGAAUCACCUGCUUGUCAAUCAAGUCAAAUCAAUUCCUAGAUGCAUGGCUACUGUUUUGCCUCUUAAAGGAAGUCCUGCAGGUUAUUAGGUGGCUAUAAUGUAAUGUUUCAUUGGUGUAUAUAUCUAAUAAAAAUGUACCAUAAUCUUUCGUCUAGGAAUAUUGGAUUUAUUUAUUUUACUAGAACUUGUCAGAAGACAUAUUUUGUUUACUAAAGCUGUAGUAGAGUAAAGUCAACUGCUCCAUCUGCUGGACACUCUUAGGCAUCCAGGUUAGCAAGCAUCCAGGCCACCGUAGUUAUCAUGCACCGAUCAGGCGAAGGGACAGUCUUGUCACCGCAGAUGACUGUUCAAAUACAACCUUUUAGCUUUGUCUUUGCUCGGUCAGAAAGAGAUAGUUCGUGUGGAUUUUUUUCUCAUGAUUCCUGUCGAAGUUUUGUGCGUUAUUUACCUAAAGAUCAGUACCGUUUUGUUACUGGAGAUACAGUGUGGAGACACAGACCAGUACUGAAGAGGUAACAAACCAAAGGAUGAGGAUAGUAGCUUUUGUGUGCCAGCCGUGGUACAUACCGGAACAUCCUUCGUGAAGAUGUGUGAGAGAAGCUUGCAAGGCAAGA